CCAUCCUUGCGGUAGAAGGAAAUCUCCACCUUACGCUCCUCGGAUCCCACCAGAGCCUGGGCGAUUUGAGACACAGCGCUGGAGGUGGUACGCGGUCCGUACAGGAAAUCACAGGUACACGGCCUCUGCAUGACCUCAGCCCGUGUAUACCCACACAUGGUACAGAAGCCAUCGUUACAGUAAAUGACUGCGCAGUUUUCCACACGGGCAUUGGCGAUGAUGAAUUUGCGGC